UGGGGAAUAUUGCACAAUGGAGGGAACUCUGAUGCAGCGACGCCGCGUGAACGAAGAAGGCUUUCGAGUCGUAAAGUUCUUUUAUAUGGGAAGAUAAUGACGGUACCAUAAGAAAAAGCCCCGGCUAACUACGUGCCAGCAGCCGCGGUAAUACGUAGGGGGCUAGCGUUGUCCGGAAUCACUGGGCGUAAAUGGUUCGCAGGCGGAAAUGCAAGUCAGGUGUAAAAGGCAGUAGCUUAACUACUGUAAGCAUUUGAAACUGCAUAUCUUGAGAAGAGUAGAGGUAAGUGGAAUUUUUAGUGUAGCGGUGAAAUGCGUAGAUAUUAAAAAGAAUACCGGUGGCGAAGGAGACUUACUGGGCUCAUUCUGACGCUCAGGAACGAAAGCGUGGGUAGCAAACAGG
rnacentral:rRNA from 1 species